rnacentral:lncRNA from 1 species
UUCCUGCACUCCAAUCAAAGAGAUACCAGUAAAUCGUCAACAUCAAUUCGGCUAUGUCUAAAAGCAAACCAACUCCAAGCUAACGCCUAGUCAAUUUUUGUCCAGUUAAUUGCACAUGUAACACGAAUGGCCAGCAAAACUUGGUUCCUUAUAUAUAAUUUGGAAUAUAAAUCUCCAAUCUCAAAACCUAAUUUACAAUCCAAAAUUGUUGUAUCAAACCAUUAGAAACUUGCACCAAGAUUAUAAGUUUUCUUACGUGACAUGAUAACUCGGUUCCACUUCUACUAUCCUAUGGUCGUCAUAAGUAUUUUUUUGUCAAAGGGAAAAUAAUCUGUUCCCGAACAGAAUAAUUCAAAAUUUACCCUUGUUCGUAUAUAUUGAGGUUUCGGCAGCAUAGUAGCAACAUAAGUGGAAGUCACAUGAACUCAACAUAAGUGGAAGUCACACGAACCAUCUAUUAGCCAUACAAAUGCAGUACGCUUUCUGACAAAGAAAAAGCAGGACACCUAGCGCAAUAUUCGCAGUAAAUUCCAUGGAAUAUUCCAUAAUCUCACAACAGCUGGCAUAUUAAAAUAGCUAGUUGACAAAAGUAACGGCAAUGACUGCCAACGGCCCAUAUCUCAAGCAUCUAGAUGACUAGACUAGAUACAUGUACAUCAGAAUAGCAUAUAUCUAAAACGGUCAUCUUCUUGUUACUCUUCUUAUCCUCAUUUGAUAAAAUUACAAUAAAGUCCUGAUCUUUUUUUUCUUGGCAACCAAGCAGUGAACAGACAAAGAAAGUAACAAAUAAAAAUUAAUGAAUUACCU